GAUGAACGCUGGCGGCGUGCCUAAUACAUGCAAGUCGAGCGAACAGACGAGGAGCUUGCUCCUCUGACGUUAGCGGCGGACGGGUGAGUAACACGUGGAUAACCUACCUAUAAGACUGGGAUAACUUCGGGAAACCGGAUCUAAUACCGUAUAAUAUAUUGAACCGCAUGGUUCAAUAGUGAAAGACGGUUUUGCUGUCACUUCUAGAUGGAUCCGCGCCGUAUUAGCUAGUUGGUAAGGUAACGGCUUACCAAGGCAACGAUGCGUAGCCGACCUGAGAGGGUGAUCGGCGACACGGGAACGGAGACAGGGUCAAGACUCCUAAGGGAGGCAGCAGUAGGGAAUGUGCCGCAAUGGGCGAAAGCAUGACGGAGCAAGGGCGCGUGAGUGAUGAAGGUCUUCGGAUCGUAAAACUCUGUUAUUAGGGAAGAACAAAUGUGUAAGGAAAUAUGCACGGAUUGACGGUACCUAAUCAGAAAGCAACGGCUAACUACGUG
rnacentral:rRNA from 1 species